GACGAACGCUGGCGGCGCGCUUAACACAUGCAAGUCGAGCGAUGAAAUUUCGACAGAUCCCUUCGGGGUGAAGAUGAAAUGGAUUAGCGGCGGACGGGUGAGUAACACGUGAGUAACCUGCCUUUGACAUUGGGAUAGCCUCGGGAAACUGGGAUUAAUACCAAAUGACACUAACUGAUCACAUGAUCAAUUAGUCAAAGAAAUUCGGUCAAAGAUGGACUCGCGGCUGAUUAGCUAGUUGGUGAGGUAACGGCCCACCAAGGCGACGAUCAGUAGCCGGCCUGAGAGGGUGAUCGGCCACAUUGGAAGUGGGACACGGUCCAAACUCCUACGGGAGGCAGCAGUGGGGAAUAUUGCAAAAUGGGGGAAACCCUGAUGCAGCGACGCCGCGUGAGCGAAGAAGGCCUUCGGGUCGUAAAGCUCUUUUAUGAGGGAAGAUAAUGACGGUACCUCAAGAAAAAGCCCCGGCUAACUACGUG
rnacentral:rRNA from 1 species